CUGUAAUAGUGCUUUAUAAAAUAACUAGCUGAUUUAAUGAGAAACGUUUUACACCCCAGAAUGAUUUUGCAAUAAGCCAUAAGAAGGCUGAGUAAAGUCACGUCUGAGCUUAAAGUAGGAAGCACUACAACAACUAGUGGAGACUGACAGAAGAAUACAGACCUGCAUAUUCCUGGAUCUUCCUGCCCUCUGAAAUAAAGAAAAACACAGACUCCUUAUUUACACAUCCUGCCCCACCACAUCACUUCUGUUAUGAGAAAGAUUACAGAGAGACUUCUAAUGACAUUCCUGAGCAGAGACAAAUAGAAACAUGAAUCCAAUAUCCAGACUUGCUGUGAUUUAAGCCAAGAGGAGAUGCAUGCAGCAAUGUGGGACAAAGCUCCUGAAUCAGGUCCACGGCCUGGCGCUCAGCCACCUGGCAGUUCAUCUCGAUGAUCUCGAGCAGCUCAGCCUGACU